UACAGAGGUGCCAAGCGUUGUUCGGAUUUACUGGGCGUAAAGGGUGCGUAGGCGGCCAUAUAAGUCGGAUGUGAAAUACCGGAGCCUAACUCCGGAAUGGCAUCCGAAACUAUUUGGCUGGAGGUCUGGAGAGGUGACUGGAAUGCUCGGUGUAGCAGUGAAAUGCGUAGAUAUCGAGUAGAACACCAGAGGCGAAAGCGAGUCACUGGACAGAUUCUGACGCUGAGGCACGAAAGCCAGGGGAG
rnacentral:rRNA from 1 species